rnacentral:rRNA from 1 species
CAGCAGCCGCGGGAAUACGAACCGUGCGAACGUUAUUCGGAAUUACUGGGCUUAAAGCGCGUGUAGGCGGGCCGCCACGUCGGUUGCUGAAAUCCCCCGGCUCAACCGGGGAAGUGGCAUCGAUACGAGCGGCCUUGAGGGGGGUAGGGGGAUCUGGAACUUCCGGUGGAGCGGUGAAAUGCGUUGAGAUCGGAAGGAACGCCCGUGGCGAAAGCGAGGUCCUGGACCCUUUCUGACGCUGAGACGCGAAAGCCAGGGGAGCGAACGGGAUUAGAUACCCCCGUAGUCCCUGUCUCUUAUA